ACGGGGUGCAGCAGGCGCGAAAACUUGGCAAUGCGAGCAAUCGUGACCAGGGAACUCCAAGUGGCUGGGGUAAGACCCAGUCUUUUCAGAACUCUUCAAAGGUUUUAGAAUAAGGGGUGGGUAAGGACGGUGCCAGCCGCCGCGGUAAUACCGGCGCCUCAAGUGGUAGUCGCUUUUAUUGGGCCUAAAACGUCCGUAGCCGGUUUGGUACAUUCGUGGGUAAAUCAACUCGCUCAACGAGUUGAAUUCUGCGAGGACGGCCAGACUUGGGACCGGGAGAGGUGUGGGGUACUCUCAGGGUAGGGGUAAAAUCCUGUCAUCCUGAGAGGACCACCUGUUGCGAAGGCGCCACACUAGAACGGAUCCGACGGUCAGGGACGAAGCCUAGGGGCACGAACCGGAUUAGAUACUCGGGUAGUCCUAGGUGUAAACGCUGUGGACUUGAUGUUGGAGGAGCUCCGAGCUCUUUCAGUGUCGAAGCGAAGGUGAUAAGUCCACUGCCUGGGAAGUACGGUCGCAAGGCUGAAACUCAAAUGAAUUGACGGA
rnacentral:rRNA from 1 species